rnacentral:misc_RNA from 1 species
UGGUUCUCGCAUCGAUGAAGAACGCAGCGAAACGCGAUAGGUAAUGUGAAUUGCAGAAUUCCGUGAAUCAUCGAAUCUUUGAACGCACAUUGCGCUCCCUGGUAUUCCUAGGAGCAUGUCUGUCUGAGCGUCAGUACACACCCUCCGUGAACAUUUUUUUUGUUCGUCGGGUCCUGAGGUCGGCGGUGUAACAACCCCCGCCUCUAAAGUGGAAAGCACAGCGGCCCGCCUGCCCAUGAAAGACGUAGUAAUACACAAUGAAUCGUCCGCGAAAGGGUCCACGGUGAUGGCUCGCCUCGAAUCUUCUCAAGGUUUGACCUCAGAUCAGACAAGAAUACCCGCUGA